UGGUUCCAAAAACACAACCCUGAUUGAUUAUUAACAAACAUACCUCUAGACAAAAUGAUGAUCAAUUGAUUUUGUCUUCAAUCAAAACAUCAGUCAAAAUUCAACAAGCACAAGCCUAAAAUGUUUGGUUGUACCUUGGGAUGAAGAGCUUUGCAACCUCCACAGCCGGGGGAAAAGAAAUCAACUACAACAAGUUUAUCCCCAGCAUGCAAAAGGGAGUCAACCAGGUCUUGGGCACCAGUCACCUCUUUCAUAUUAGGUAGAACCCCUUUCUCCCACCACUUCUGAGCUUUCCCAAUUGCAAAGCCCACCUGUAUACACACACAAUUCAAAGGUUAGAAUUAUCCUUAAGAUUUAUGCACCAAUAACAAACCAGAAUGCUACAACCUAAGAGCCAAAUCAAUCAUGGAACCUGAAAAUUGAAAUCAAACCAUCGGAAACAUAUUCACAAAUUAAUUAACCAGGGAAACAGAAAGACUAUAUUUUUGCAUAGGUAUGAAAACUUCUGUUAGGACAGUUGUAGGGAUAUAACUUAAAUAAAUAAAGCAGCAACACAACCAUCCACAAGUUUAUUCGUAUAAAAUGCAAUCGUUUAAUUUGUCAAGUUAAAUUUUAAUUGACCUGGAGAAAGAAAAAGGAAUUCUCCUUUCAAGCAAAAAUAUGUUCAGACGGAAAUGAUCAAUCUUUCAUAAGGCAGGCAAAAUUCAACUCUUUGAAAAAAGGUAUAGAAACGCUGCUUCAGAUCAGGUGGGGGUGGUGUGGUGAAACGCAAUGAAGAGAGCUGGCUUUCUGCUCAGAUUUUGUGAAUUGAAUCGAUAUAAUAAUGCCAAACCCCAUCAUAUUUUGUAGUAUCUAACAUGGAUGGUGUCAAUUUAAUAAAAUAAAAAGAAACGGGCAAAUACACCACAAAUUCAAUUUCAAAUCUGCACUACAUAAUUGAAAUAAUUGAAGAGUAUUGAGGACAAAUAACAAACGUGGGCAUUAGGAGGCGGUGGUCGAGGAUUUCGUCUGAUGGCUCCGAUGUUUCCACGGGCGAAAAAUUCGGCGCUUGCAAUAAUAAGGUUUAAACAUCUACAUGCCUUGCAUAUAGCAUUUUCGUUUGUUUAUCGCCCUUCACCAACAUAAUUUACACUAGAAGAUAACAUACAUCUGCACAAAGAGGGAAAGAAGUUGGGCUCUGACCACCUAAAAAGACUGAAUAAUCUUCUGGAGAAGAUCAGUUUCCUCGAGUUCUGUACAUGAGGGAAGGCACUUGGAUCCAGCCGCCUAAAAUACUAACUGAACAAUCUUCCCCAAAGACGAGGUGCCUCAAGUUUCGAGUCGCCUUUAUCGAGUAGUGGAUGGAAGCGGAAGGGGAAGGGGGAGGGGAAGAGAGAGGGGGAGUAUCGCUUCAUGAGACAAUGGUGAUGUUACUGCACUUAAAAUCUCUUCCCUCUCCCUUUCAGGAACAAAUACUUGUCCCUCUUCCUUAGGUAAUGGAUCAUAGACGAAGGAUAGAUCCCUAUUAGCUGAGAGAGCAAGUAGCUCCUUCUCCUCCAGCCCUUUGGUGGGACACAAGCUGCAACGAUCCGGACUGUGCUUCGCCAGAGCAUCUUUAAAUUUCUUGAUCUGUCAUGAUAUCAUCAACAUCACUAUGAGUAUGGUUUCAGAGUAAGAUUGCGCAAAGAAAAAGAAAUAACGUGUGAACACAAGGCCACAUAGCCGGGGCAAGCAUUACUAAGAACUUAACAUCGUUGCAGGACUUGUAAACUCUCAGCUUCAACCCAUAUAUCAGGUAAGUAAAGAAAAGUAACAAACAGGGGAACAAAGGUAUAAGACUCACCGUGGCAUUGGUACAACUAAAACUGCACAGACGACCAUGAGCACCUCUAUAAAAGCGGAAGAAGGGAAGGACAUGGAUAUUAAGAGCAUAGCACAUAGCCUUGUGCUCAUCAUAAUUAACCUGCAGGAACUGCACGUGCGGAUUCAUCUCCGCCAAUUGACAUAUCUGUGGUUCCAAAAACACAACCCUGAUUGAUUAUUAACAAACAUACCUCUAGACAAAAUGAUGAUCAAUUGAUUUUGUCUUCAAUCAAAACAUCAGUCAAAAUUCAACAAGCACAAGCCUAAAAUGUUUGGUUGUACCUUGGGAUGAAGAGCUUUGCAACCUCCACAGCCGGGGGAAAAGAAAUCAACUACAACAAGUUUAUCCCCAGCAUGCAAAAGGGAGUCAACCAGGUCUUGGGCACCAGUCACCUCUUUCAUAUUAGGUAGAACCCCUUUCUCCCACCACUUCUGAGCUUUCCCAAUUGCAAAGCCCACCUGUAUACACACACAAUUCAAAGGUUAGAAUUAUCCUUAAGAUUUAUGCACCAAUAACAAACCAGAAUGCUACAACCUAAGAGCCAAAUCAAUCAUGGAACCUGAAAAUUGAAAUCAAACCAUCGGAAACAUAUUCACAAAUUAAUUAACCAGGGAAACAGAAAGACUAUAUUUUUGCAUAGGUAUGAAAACUUCUGUUAGGACAGUUGUAGGGAUAUAACUUAAAUAAAUAAAGCAGCAACACAACCAUCCACAAGUUUAUUCGUAUAAAAUGCAAUCGUUUAAUUUGUCAAGUUAAAUUUUAAUUGACCUGGAGAAAGAAAAAGGAAUUCUCCUUUCAAGCAAAAAUAUGUUCAGACGGAAAUGAUCGAUUCAUAAGGCAGGCAAAAUUCAACUCUUUGAAAAAAAGGUAUAGAAACGCUGCUUCAGAUCAG
rnacentral:lncRNA from 1 species